UAAGACAAUAAAUCAUACAUACAGUGAAAAACGCUCUUUUUGUAGCACAUCCUACAUGUACAUAUCGGCAGCAUUUUCCUUGCGAUACUCCUAGUUAUAGACCUUUAUUUAGUUUUUUGUUGCAUGCCCAUAUAUGGGCAUGCAACUUUCAUAUAGCUCUAAAUUUCGUGUCGCGGUGUACGGGCGGUGGUAAAUCACGUGACAGAUUCGUAUUAAAAAUGCGACAAAUACCGAGUUUUUCCGACGAGCAUUUUCAUCUGAAUAUUGACUCCCGGCCGAAAAUUUACAUAAUUGAGCGCCUUAGGAAAAUAGAUCGAGGUAGGUAAAGCUUUACCGUUUUUAAUUUACCUUAUAUUCUGUUAUUUGUUGUUAGUUUGGAACCGUUGUGCUCGCACUGAUUAUUUAUCAGCCGUUUAAUAUUUAUGUCGUGAAGGC